GAAAGGAAGUUACCCCCAGAACCUGUGAACCAAAAUAACAAAAAACUUAUGUACAACAUCCUUGGAUGGAUCCUACACUCAAAUUGAUGCGGUGCGCAAAUUCAUAUCAGAUUCAAAUACUUGCAUUUUUCAUAUUUUACAAGAACUUCUAGUUUUAGAUAGAUUCUUUAUUUUGUUAGAUAAGUUUUAUUUAUAUUUCUUUGUAUAUUUAGAACUGUAAAAUACUACUUCUAUUUAACUUAGGUCUUUAAAAUAUGUAACUUAGGUCUUUAAAAUAUGUUUUCUAUUUAGAUUAAAAUUUUUCAAUUCAUUCCUACCUAGAUUAGGAUUUAGAGCUCUAAAAAUACCUAUUAUAUUUUUCUUAUGUAUAAGUUUUUCAGAUUUAUUUUAAUCUAAUUUGCUUUAUUUUCUCUUUAGAAUCUUGUGUUUCUUAAGAUCUUGAACUAGAUCUUGUUUAUUUUUAAGGGCUUGAUCGUGUGUUUAUUCUUUUUCAAGCUACACGUUGCGUCAGGUGAUAUCAGAGCAGAGAUUUCACUCUCAUUACGAUGGUCAAUACUUGUGGUGGUGGUGACAAUCAAUUAUCAGGGGUUACCAACUGUUUGAAGAGCAACGAAACUUUACGACAGAAAUUAUGUGACAAUUGCAAGAGCGAUUGCGCACUUGGGUUAAUGUUUAUUAAAAUAGGAAUCAAGUACAUAUUCAAACCGGUUGAGCUAAUCCCAGUAGAGUUGAACUUGAUCCUGUUAUCUUCAACCCUAGAAGAAGGGCUAUGAUGGAGGAUAAUACAAACGACAAUGAGGAGAUGGACUUUAAGUAUGUCCCACGCUAAGGACAAGAGGUGGCUAA
rnacentral:misc_RNA from 1 species